GACGUAGGAGGCGAGCGUUGUCCGGAUUCAUUGGGCGUAAAGAGCGCGCAGGCGGUCGUUCAAGUCGAGUGUGAAAGCCCCCGGCUCAACUGGGGAGGGUCACUUGAUACUGAUCGACUCGAAGGCAGGAGAGGGAAGCGGAAUUCCCGGUGUAGUGGUGAAAUGCGUAGAUAUCGGGAGGAACACCAGUGGCGAAGGCGGCUUCCUGGCCUGUUCUUGACGCUGAGGCGCGAAAGCUAGGGGAGCAAACGGG
rnacentral:rRNA from 1 species